rnacentral:rRNA from 1 species
GACAGAGGGUGCAAACGUUGUUCGGAAUUACUGGGCGUAAAGCGCGUGUAGGCGGCUAAGUAAGUCGGGCGUGAAAUCCCACGGCUCAACCGUGGAAGUGCACUCGAAACUGCAUAGCUAGAGUCCUGGAGAGGAAGGUGGAAUGCUUGGUGUAGAGGUGAAAUUCGUAGAUAUCAAGCGGAACACCGGUGGCGAAGGCGGCUUCCUGGUCUGCGACUGACGCUGUGGCGCGAAAGCUAGGGGAGCAAACGGG